rnacentral:lncRNA from 10 species
GCUUGAACCCGGGAGGCAGAGUUUGCAGUGAGCUGAGAUCCCGUGACAUUGCACUCCAAUCUGGGUGACAAGAGUGAAACUCCAUCUCAAAAAAAGAAAAAAAAAUGACAUCUUCUUCCUAAUAUAACUAUUUAAGUGGUUUUUCUAUAGCUUCUUCCUGUCAGUGCACACAGGCAUACACGUCUACUGGUAAUCACGAGAACUAACAUUUAUUAGUUAUCGAAUGAAUGCCUGGCACCAUCCCCAGCACCUCAAUGUAGGCACUACUUUUAAGCCCAUUUUGCAGCUGAGAUGAGGCAACAGGCACAUUAAGGUUAAGCAGCCCAAAGUCACACAGGAGGGAAGUAGCAGAGCCAAGCCACAGAUAAGGACAUACCAAGAUCAGCUAUAAUGUUUAACAGAAAGUUGGUGACAAAUCCCAGCACUUUGAGAGGCCGAGGCAGGCAGAUCACGAGGACAGGAUAUCAAGACCAUCCUGGCUAACAUGGUGAAACCCUGUCUCUACUAAAAAUACAAAAAAUUAGCCAGAUGUGGUGGCCCUGGAGCUGGUCCCAGCUACUUGGGAGGCUGAGG